rnacentral:lncRNA from 1 species
GUGGGAGGUUUCAGAAUCAUUCAUGAUAGUAACUAUCAUGUUUUUAUAUUUAGAUGCGAUUUUACAAUCAAUAUUCGGUUUUGUUAAGCAGUAAUAAAACAUUUUUAAUUUAGUGAAUGACAUAUUAAAAGUUGAAUUUAGAAAAGAGGUAAUAAAAGGGAAAGAAAAGAAGAUUAUGAAAAAUUGUGGUGUAUAUGGAUGGGGUUGAGGUGUGGGUUGUGUAUGUGAGGGAGGACCCACAGUAAGAGGGUGUGGACCAUGAGUUGGUGAAGUUGAUAUUAGAAAGAUGAUGGGGUUCACGAGGAGAGUGGACCUUCAUUCUGUGAAGUUCAUCCCCCCUUAGCUUUUCUCCUGCUACCCCAGUCUCGACACACACCCACUCUUUUCUUUUUAUCUCCUUUCCUUAUCUUUCAAAACAUAUAACAUUCCCACAUCAAAAUCUCCUAUUUUAUAACCAUAACCAUGUUUUUAUAGACAUAAUCAUCAAUAAAUGAUGUUUUUUUUUUACCUAAAAGAUGCAUGCUCUCAACCAGAAACAAAUUCUUGCCCAUCCAUCCAUCAGUCCCCACCCAACUUAACAUCCCAGUUCCAGUUUGUCUUUUCGACCAGGUUCGCCUAAGUAUUAUUCCACAAUUUUAACAAAAAUAGAAAACGAAUAAAGAAAAAGCACAUCCAUUGCACUAUCCUCCUUUCCUAUAUAUAUUCAUUUCUAUUGUUUGUCCCAUGAUUUCUUUAUCCACAAUCCUACUGCUUAGAAUGACUAGGAUUCGGCUAAGACUAUGCUCAUUCAUUCAGACAAUUAUUGUCAACCUCACCUACAAUUAUAUACCACAUUACAUCUUCCUAAUACCUAUUGCAUUACCAUCACAUCACUCACAAACACUCUUAUUAUAACUUUCAUUAUUAAUUAUUUUGGUAUUAUAUAUAUAGCUGUGUGUGAGUUGUGGGAAUAAACCAGAGCCAGACAUGCUAUCAACAGGGAAACAGUUUGAAUGAUAGGAUUAUCAAAAAAUAGAAAAUAAGAAAAUUGAAAACCGUGUUCUGGGUGUUACCAUGUACAACAAAAUUCCGUAUUAUUGGGGAAAUAGACUAUGUACGGAAACAGUCCUUGGCCAUUGGAAGGAAUGGACCACAUGCCAA